rnacentral:rRNA from 1 species
AGUAACACGUGAGCAAUCUGCCCCUGACUCUGGGAUAAGCGCUGGAAACGGCGUCUAAUACUGGAUACGAGCUGCGAAGGCAUCUUCAGCAGCUGGAAAGAACUUCGGUCAGGGAUGAGCUCGCGGCCUAUCAGCUUGUUGGUGAGGUAACGGCUCACCAAGGCGUCGACGGGUAGCCGGCCUGAGAGGGUGACCGGCCACACUGGGACUGAGACACGGCCCAGACUCCUACGGGAGGCAGCAGUGGGGAAUAUUGCACAAUGGGCGCAAGCCUGAUGCAGCAACGCCGCGUGAGGGACGACGGCCUUCGGGUUGUAAACCUCUUUUAGCAGGGAAGAAGCGAAAGUGACGGUACCUGCAGAAAAAGCGCCGGCUAACUACGUGCCAGCAGCCGCGGUAAUACGUAGGGCGCAAGCGUUAUCCGGAAUUAUUGGGCGUAAAGAGCUCGUAGGCGGUUUGUCGCGUCUGCUGUGAAAACCCGAGGCUCAACCUCGGGCCUGCAGUGGGUACGGGCAGACUAGAGUGCGGUAGGGGAGAUUGGAAUUCCUGGUGUAGCGGUGGAAUGCGCAGAUAUCAGGAGGAACACCGAUGGCGAAGGCAGAUCUCUGGGCCGUAACUGACGCUGAGGAGCGAAAGGGUGGGGAGCAAACAGGCUUAGAUACCCUGGUAGUCCACCCCGUAAACGUUGGGAACUAGUUGUGGGGUCCAUUCCACGGAUUCCGUGACGCAGCUAACGCAUU